GCGCCGCCACCGUCUGAACUAGGAUGUCCCGACAUGAAGGUGUCAGCUGUGGUGCAUUUUUAAAAGGAAAUUUUCGAAGUCGCAGAUAUAAGUGUUUAAUGUGCUACGAUUACAAUCUUUGUGCAUCUUGUUAUGAAAGUAGGUCAAUAACAACAAGGCACACAAUGGACCUCCCGAUGCAGGGCAUAUUAACAAGGGUAGAUUUUGAUUUGUGCUAUGGUGGAAAAGCUUUCUCUGUAGAGUAGCCACAGACUUACUUGUCCCUACUGUGGAAAAAUGGGCUAUACGGAAACAUCUCUUCAAGAACAUGUUACUUCUGAACUUGCAGAAACAUCUACAGAAGUGAUUUGUCCAAUAUGUGCAGCGUUACCUGGAGUCUUGUCACAGAUGACUUCGCAGCUCAUCUUACACUUGAACACAGAGCCCCUAGAGAUUUAGAUGAAUGGAGUGGUGUUCGACAUGUACGUAGAAUGUUUCACCCUGGUGGGGAUGAGGAGGUCCUGGUGCUCGUAGAUCAAACAUGCACUUUACUAGCAGUUCUACUGGUGGACUUUCUUCUCAGAGUUCGUACUCUCCAAGCAAUAUAGGGAAGCCAUGGAUCCUAUAGCUGAGCUUUUAUCUCAGUUACCAGGAGUGAGACGUUCUGCAGGACAGCUUAGUUCUUCUGGCCCUUCCGCUUCUCAGUUACAACAACUGCAGAUGCAGAUGCCGCUGCAGCUAGAAGGGCAGCAUGCCCAGGCAGCACGGCAACUGAGACCGCACGCAAUGCAAGCCCGCUCACUAACACAAGCAGCGUCACCACUACAAUCACACAGUUCACAGCAUCCACCAACACAGCAAACACAGAAAGCAGUCAGCAGGCUCUCCAGAAUUCCCAGUUUCUUUUAACAAGGUUGAAUGAUCCCAAAAUGUCAGAAACAGAGCGUCAGUCCACGGAAAGUGAGCAUGCAGACCACAGCCUGUUCGUCCAAGAACUCCUUUGUCCACUUUAGCGCGUGAAGAGAGCUCGGCCUCAGACGAGGAUGAACCGGGAGAGAUGGCAGAUUUUGGUGCAGAUUCUGGCUGUGAAGAUAUUAUGCCUUUAGAUGUUGCUUUAGAAAAACUAAAUUUAAAAGAGAGUAAUAAAGGAAAUGAGCCUCUACCACCUCCUCUUUGAUGACCUCCCAAUUCGCAGUGUUCUCUGUGCUGUAUUUGCCAAUGAAAGUAGACAACAGCUAUCCUGGGUUUGUUUGGUGACUGUAAUUUCAGGUCUGUCACUCUUGUUACAUUAUGUACAUUCAAAAGGAAGAGAGAAAAAUAUAUACUAUAAUCAUUUCCACUUAACUAAUUUUUACUUCUAGCAGUUAAUGUAAGGUAGCAGUGCAGGGUGGUCUUUGCUUCCUGUAUCUUGACAUGCAAAAGGUCUCCUAAUACUCCACAUUCAAACUGAAGAGGAAAAUUGAAAUCUCUAAUGAAGCUGCUGUGUGUAUUUAUGAAUAUUAAUGAAU